rnacentral:tRNA from 1 species
GGGGGUAUAGCUCAGGGGUAGAGCGCUCGCUUUGCAUACGAGAAGUCUGGGGUUUGAUUCCCCAUACCUCCA